rnacentral:rRNA from 1 species
UACGGAGGGGGCUAGCGUUGUUCGGAAUUACUGGGCGUAAAGCGCACGUAGGCGGCUUUGCAAGUUAGAGGUGAAAGCCCGGGGCUCAACUCCGGAAUUGCCUUUAAAACUGCAUCGCUAGAAUUGUGGAGAGGUGAGUGGAAUUUCCGGUGUAGCGGUGAAAUGCGUAGAUAUCGGAAGGAACACCUGUGGCGAAAGCGGCUCACUGGACCAUUACUGACGCUGAGGCACGAAAAGCUAGGGGGAGCAAACAGGG